UUUUGGCCAUUUUUCCGCUUGGGGGUUUUGGCACCACGACCUUCGGGCGCUUAUUUUUGGGUGCGGCUGUGCCCGCGACUUCCCGCGGGCACCCCGAGGCCCCUCGCAAAGUCUCGCCCCAUUCCGAGUCUGGCGGACGAACUUCGCCCGCGCCCCCCACCAAGGCUAUAGCCCACCCGUUUUUUGGCCAUUUUUCCGCUGGGGGGUUUUGGCACCACGACCUUCGGACGCUUAUUUUUGGGCGCGGCUUUGCCCAUGGCUUAUUUUUGGCGCCCCGAGGCCCCUCGCAAAGUCUCGUCCCAUUCCGAGUCCGGCGGACGAACUUCGCCCGCGCCCCCCACCAAGGCUAUAGCCCACCCGUUUUUUGGCCAUUUUUCCGCUGGGGGGUUUUGGCACCACUACCUUCGGACGCUUAUUUUUGGGCGCGGCUGUGCCCUCGACUUCCCGCGGGCACCCCGAGGCCCCUCGCAAAGUCUCGCCUCAUUCCGAGUCCGGCGGACGAACUUCGCCCGCGCCCCCCACCAAGGCUAUAGCCCACCCGUUUUUUGGCCAUUUUUCCGCUGGGGGGUUUUGGCACCACGACCUUCGGGCACUUAUUUUUGGGUGCGGCUGUGCCCGCGACUUCCCGCCGGCACCCCGAGGACCCUCGCAAAGUCUCGCCACAUUCCGAGUCCGGCGGACGAACUUCGCCCGCGCCCCCCACCAAGGCUAUAGCCCACCCAUUUUUUGGCCAUUUUUCCGCUGGGGGGUUUUGGCACCACGACCUUCGGGCACUUAUUUUUGGGCGCGGCUUUGCCCGCGGCUUAUUUUGGCGCCCCGAGGCCCCUCGCAAAGUCUCGCCCCAUUCCGAGUCCGGCGGACGAACUUCGCCCGCGCCCCCCACCAAGGCUAUAGCCCACCCGUUUUUUGGCCAUUUUUCCGCUGGGGGGUUUUGGCACCACGACCUUCGGUUGCUUAUUUUUGGGCGCGGCUGUGCCCGCGACUUCCCGCGGGCACCCCGAGGCCCCUCGCAAAGUCUCGCCCCAUUCCGAGUCCGGCGGACGAACUUCGCCCGCGCCCCCCACCAAGGCUAUAGCCCACCCGUUUUUUGGCCAUUUUUCCGCUGGGGGGUUUUGGCACCACGACCUUCGGGCGCUUAUUUUUGGGCGCGGCUUUGCCCACGGCUUAUUUUUGGCGCCCCGAGGCCCCUCGCAAAGUCUCACCCCAUUCCGAGUCCGGCGGACGAACUUCGCCCGCGCCCCGCACCAAUGCUAUAGCCCACCCGUUUUUUGGCCAUUUUUCCGCUGGGGGGUUUUGGCACCACGACCUUCGGGCGCUUAUUUUUGGGCGCGGCUGUGCCCGCGACUUCCCGCGGGCACCCCGAGGCCCCUCGCAAAGUCUCGCCCCAUUCCCAGUCCGGCGGACGAACUUCGCCCGCGCCCCCCACCAAGGCUAUAGGCCACCCGUUUUUUUGCCAUUUUUCCACUGGGGGGUUUUGGCACCACGACCUUCGGGCGCUUAUUUUUGGGUGCGGCUGUUCCCGCAACUUCCCGCGGGCACCCCGCGGCCCCUCGCAAAGUCUCGCCCCAUUCCGAGUCCGGCGGACGAACUUCGCCCGCGCCCCCCACCAAGGCUAUAGCCCACCUCUUUUUUGGCCAUUUUUCCGCUGGGGGGUUUUGGCACCACGACCUUCGAGCACUUAUUUUUGGGCGCGGUUUUGCCCGCGACUUAUUUUUGGCGCCCCGAGGCCCCUCGCAAACUCUCGCCCCAUUCCGAGUCCGGUGGACGAACUUCGCCCGCGCCCCCCACCAAGGCUAUAGCCCACCCAUUUUUUGGCCAUUUUUCCGCUGGGGGGUUUUGGCACCACGACCUUCGGGCACUUAUUUUUGGGCGCGGCUUUGCCCGCGGCCUAUUUUUGGCGCCCCGAGGCCCCUCGCAAAGUCUCGCCCCAUUCCGAGUCCGGCGGACGAACUUCGCCCGCGCCCCCCACCAAGGCUAUAGCCCACCCGUUUUUUGGCCAUUUUUCCGCUGGGGGGUUUUGUCACCACGACCUUCGGGCACUUAUUUUUGGGCGCGGCUGUGUCCGCGACUUCCCGCGGGCACCCCGAGGCCCCUCACAAAGUCUCGCCCCAUUCCGAGUCCGGCGGACGAACUUCGCCCGCGCCCCCCACCAAGGCUAUAGCCCACCCGUUUUUUGGCCAUUUUUCCGCUGGGGGGUUUUGGCACCACGACCUUCGGGCGCUUAUUUUUGGGCGCGGCUGUGCCCUCUACUUCCCGCGGGCGCCCCGAGGCCACUCGCAAAAUCUCGCCCCAUUCCGAGUCCGGCGGACGAACUUCGCCCGCGCCCCCCACCAAGGCUAUAGCCCACCCGUUUUUUUGCCAUUUUUCCGCUGGGGGGUUUUGGCAUCACGACCUUCGGGCGCUUAUUUUUGGGCGCGGCUGUGCCCGCGACUUCCCGCGGGCACCCCGAGUCCCCUCGCAAAGUCUCGCCCCAUUCCGAGUCCGGCGGACGAACUUCGCCCGCGCCCCCC
rnacentral:lncRNA from 1 species